UACGGGGGGAGCAAGCGUUGUUCGGAUUUACUGGGCGUAAAGGGCGCGUAGGCGGGAUGGUAAGUCGGUCGUGAAAUCCCUCGGCUCAACCGAGGAACGUCGAUCGAUACUACCGUUCUUGAGGAUUGCAGAGGAGACUGGAAUUCCCGGUGUAGCGGUGAAAUGUGUAGAGAUCGGGAGGAACACCGGUGGCGAAGGCGGGUCUCUGGGCAAUUCCUGACGCUGAGGCGCGAAAGCGUGGGGAGCAAACGGG
rnacentral:rRNA from 1 species